CAUGCAGAUUCAGAGAUGACUUCUCUGCCAACACAAGAUGUGUUUGAUGCUGCCCCUGAAACUCCUGACCCAAAUUCAACAACUGGACAGGACACAGGACUCAUUACUAGACUGGCCAGCUCACUGUUUCCUUUCUCUCUGUUCUUCCGAAAAAGUUCUGCAAAAUAAAAAUUUCAAGCCAUAAUUUCUUAACUCUUGCAG